GUGGGGAAUCUUAGACAAUGGGGGAAACCCUGAUCUAGCCAUGCCGCGUGAGCGAUGAAGGCCUUAGGGUUGUAAAGCUCUUUCAGCUGGGAAGAUAAUGACUGUACCAGCAGAAGAAGCCCCGGCUAACUCCGUGCCAGCAGCCGCGGUAAUACGGAGGGGGCUAGCGUUGUUCGGAAUUACUGGGCGUAAAGCGCACGUAGGCGGACCGGAAAGUCAGAGGUGAAAUCCCAGGGCUCAACCUUGGAACUGCCUUUGAAACUCCUGGUCUUGAGGUCGAGAGAGGUGAGUGGAAUUCCGAGUGUAGAGGUGAAAUUCGUAGAUAUUCGGAGGAACACCAGUGGCGAAGGCGGCUCACUGGCUCGAUACUGACGCUGAGGUGCGAAAGCGUGGGGAGCAAACAGGAUUAGAUACCCUUGUAGUCC
rnacentral:rRNA from 1 species